AAAAGAGGCGAAGGGGUAACGGAUUAAGCAUCUUUGCGCUUGGGGCAAUGACGCAGCUAAUGAGGUAAUAACCGAGGCGCGUCAAUUGCUGGUUGAAAACUAUUUCCAAACCCCCUCCUUGGCCUUGGGUCUCCCUUGGCCAUCGAGAAUUUCUGGAAGGACUCCCUUUAUCGGCUAAAGUCCUACAAUUCCCAGUAAAAAAAAUUGAUUCUCUUAAUUUCUCCAUAAACACGGCUAAUUAAGUUAUAAUAUUGUGGUAAUAGGUUAAUUCUGCAUAAGAUAAUAAUAUAUUAUAAUAGCAUUAAUAUUGUAAUAUAAGUUCAUUUUUUUAUAUGUACGUUGUGCAUGUAUAUUAUUAUUGAUUGGAUUCAUUCACCAGAUAAAACAAUAAACAUAACUCCUUUGAGCAAUGCUUUAAAAUCUGGUUCGAAUCGGUCAAACCUAAAAAUCGGGACGAGAGCGGUUUAACAAUGAUCGGUUUUAUGUCGGUUUUUAGACCGAACUGAACCAAACUGUUUCUUUUAAAACCAGGUUGAAGUGGUAUAUUGUAUUUGGAUAGUUGGAUUUCACUUACCUGUUACAAAACAAUUUAUUUCCAAAACAUAAUAAAUAGUUUGAUUGAUCAGGUUAUUAUCCAGAGUGUACACAACUUGAAGGCUGAUGCACACCACCACCAUAUGUAGAAUGGUGGUCGAACCGGAAACGGUUAUCAAAACCGGUUCAACUAAAAAUCGGUUUUUAAAACAUUGUCUUUUAGUUGGAGUAUCUCACUUUAUAAUGAUUAUGUAUCUCGAUUAGAACAAAAAUCGGAAUCAACAUUCAAAAACAAAUUUCCAUUUCUAUUGACAGCCUGAUUAAAAAUAGGAUGCGCGUGUUUGAUCUUAAUACCUCAUUUAUAGGCUUUCAAUCAUCAAAUGUUGGAUUAUCAUUCAUGUUUUGUAUGUUCAAGGCCACCUAUUUGAAGUAGUCGUUCUAUUACAUGAGAGAGGCAUGACUUUCAAUAUUUACCUCUUUUUACCCACUUCUAAUGGAAUUGUAGGGUUUAUUGUUGGACGACAAAAACCAUGUCAUCUGCGACAUAAUCGUUUUGUGUAAUAUGUACCCAAUAAUUUUAAAAAUAUUAUUAUAAGUCUCAUAUUGAAUUGUACGUCAUAUGUACUAAAAUAUAUAUUUUUAGUAUUGAUUGUACCUUUUUAAGUUGUUUUUUUAGACUUAGCAAGUUUCUAUUUUUUCUUGAUUCAAGCUUUGUUGUUCUUUUCUAUCUUGUAUUUUUCAAAGAUAAUGAAUCAUAGUAUCUAAGUUUUGGAUCAUUUACCAAACUUUUGUUUUUUGUGCUUAAAAAGUGUCAUUUAACUAAAAUAAUAUGCAGAAAAACAGGUAAAACAUAACAGAUUUGUAAAAUUGAUAAGUUUUCUUGAAAAUUUUAUUUCAUGGCAACUUGGAAAUUUGAUAUCACAGAUAACAAAGGCAAAAGUAGAAAAAGACUUGUAAAGUUCAGAAAACAUAUUUAUGGUAAAAUCCGAUUUUUUUACAAACUUCAGGGCUUUUGUGUCAAAAGCCCUAAAAACCGUGCUAUUAUUAUAGUGAUAAAGAAAUUGUAACCAAGUCCACAUAAUCGACCUACGACAACAAUUAUUCGACCCAUUACAUGACUUGAGUCCUCAUGUAAGCUUUUCUCCAGCUAAAAUGUGAGAAAUUGGCUUUGGUAACACAAUAUUAUAGUUGCAACCUUCAUUUUACAUUGAUCCAAAGUAGAGUGCCUUUUUGGGGAGCCAAUCCGAUCAUGCUCACUCACUUCCCGACCAGCCUGCCAAUACAUAAAGGUGUGCAUUGGGUCUAGGCUAACCGAUAUGGGCCCGACCCAAAACUAUUUAUAAAAAUCCCAGUCCUCAUUAUAAAUUUUUUGACUAGGACAAUCGAUUAUGCGAGUUUAGAAAGAAAUUGGUUAUUCAAAACCGGUUAAAAUAAUUAAGAAGCCAUUUAGUGUUUUAAUAUUUUACUAAAAGAGUUUUAAAAAUCAAGCCAUAUAAUUUGUUAGGAAGACCAACUUAUAUUGGUUAAGGAUAAUUGGAAUUAGGCUUGGUUAAGGCAUGAGACCGGCUACAUAAGACUUGGUUAAAGUUUUUCGGAUUGGACUUAAGACCUGUUAUAACCGGUUAAAGGCACGGCUGGGCACACUUUUUGUUCACCUUUAGCAACAUAUCACGUGAAAGUUAUCCAUUUUUUGUCUACUGACUUUGACCUUGGUUGGAUGUAGUGCUUGUUGCUUAUAUUUUCAAGAUAGCAUGUCACGUUUUGUUUUUGUUUUUCAAUGACGUGAGCAAACAUAAAAAAGGGCAACUUGAGAUGCAAUGACAUCUUUCAUAUUCUUUUAGGUAGUGUUUGCUAUAUGAGACUUGAUUGGACAAGACUAAACAGAUAGAAACUAGACUCAUUGUUUAUGUAGUGUUUGGUACUUAGAACUUGAUAUAUGAAGAAGUUAAAAUUACCGGAUUGUCUUUUAUAUGAAAUAAUACAAAAUAAUCAAAAUCAUUGCAAAAUUAACAUAUUUUUCACACAAAUUAAUUAAAAAUCAAAAGAUUCAAACACUCCAAUAAAAAGAAAAAACUGCACAAAUGGUCCCUGUGGUUUGCUCAAAAUUGUCACUUUGGUCCAAAAAGGUUUGGACUAAUCCAAAGUUUUCAUUUUAUUGCUUGUUUAGUCAAAUAUGUUUUGAUUCUUUUCAAAAUAACGAAUUUGCCCUGUUAAUAUGAUUUUCUUUUUUCUUAUUUGUUUUUCUGAUUUUAUAUUUAAUAAAAUAAAAAUAAAUCACACACACUCUCUCUCUCUUAUUUGUUUUUAUUUUUGUGAUUUAGAUUUAAAAAAAUAAAAUAUCACACACACACACACGUCAUGCCAAGUUUAACCAAAGCCUUAAAGCGAUACGGUGUAUGAUACACACAUAGAUUGAUCCAUAUUCAACAUCAUCCAUCUUCAACCUUCAACAAACCUAGGGGUGUUCAUUUGGAUGGAUCGGUUUGAUCCGAUCCAAUCAAGUGAAUCCAAUUUGAUUUCGGUUUUCAAAACAUGGAUCCGAAUAGUCCAAUCUAAAUUCAAAUCCGAUCCGAUCCGAUCCAAUUACAAUUCGGUUGGAUCGGUUUUUAUAAUUCGGUUUUCAAAAAACGAAACAUUUUAAAACGAUAUAUAAUUAUAAUAUUACCCAACUUUACAAAAGAACCAAAAACAAAUUAUUUAGUUGCAUUUUGAAAUUUUUAAAAAACUACUAAGAAGAUAUAUUAUAGUUAAAUAUUUUAUACAUAGAAAACUUUUGAGAGAAAAUACAUAUUAAUGUUUUUUUUGUAUCGAGUGUAACGUUUUGAACCUAUUUGAAAAAAUAAGUUACCAAAUUAAUAAAUAACUAUGGAUAUAUAUUAUAAAUAGAUAAAUAAUAAAUGUUUAUUCGGUUUUUUUGGAUUAUUCGGUUCUUAUUUUAUAAACCAAAAUCAAUCCGAAAUCCAAAAUAAUAAUUCGGUUUUGUUAAAAACCAAUCCAAGAAUCCGAAAAUCCGAACCAAAUAGUCCAAUCCAAAUUGUCCAAUUGGAUAAUUCGGUUUUAUCCGAACAGUGAACAGUCCUAAACAAACCUCAUCACCAAAAUCACCUUUAAUCUCAUUCCACCUCACCAUAACUUCAACGCCUCCACCAGAAAUUUCCAGUUGUCAAGAGCCGCUUAGAUUCCACACCCACCUAUCAACGUCGAUUACCUCGAAACAAAAUUUAGCGGCCAUGGCACUUCCUUCACAAACCUCAGAGAAAGUUCACGAUAAGCAAAAUGAAGGGAUUUCAUGGUCUCCCACUAUCUGGAAUCUUUGCAGUGUUGGAGGAAGUCCAGACAAUUCAGGUGAAUACUCAAUUCACGAUAUCUAUUUUCCGUUCCUCUGUAUGAAUGAAUUGAAAUUGCCCUAAUGUUCUUAGGCAGAACUGAUUAGUAGCAUAAAAUUGAAAUCAAACACAUUGUAACUUUGAAAGAAGAUGCUAUAAGCUUAGAGAUUGUGAUUACGAAUUUCAGAUCUUCAUCACUCCGACUAACAGGAUGGAUAAUCGGUCACUUAGCUGUGAGCACACUGGAAGCAUCAUACGCCAUCCGACUCGAGAGAGCAAAUUACUUCGUUAAGCCACAAAUUUUCUCAAAAUCCAUCAUUAUUCCUCCUGAUAUCCACAAGAAUGAUUCGUGUCAAUUAGGGUUGAAGCGACUACUAUCAGAUUUGGGACUCAAGCCUGAAUCAGGACUUGAAAGAUGAAACAACAAAAAAUAGGGAAGAAGAUGAAGAGAUUGAAGGUGAAGAGGAUGAUAACUACAAGAAUUUAAUUGGGAAACUAAGCUUGAUCUCUCAUUCAAUGAUUUAAGUUGUGAAAUUCCCGAUGAAAUUUGGAGUAUGAAGAUGGAAGCGAUUAAUCUCGAAGGGAGCAUGCUCAACUGGAAUUUAAACUCUAAUUUCAGUGAUUUGGAAAACCUUAGGGUUCUUCAAUGAUUUCCAACGAGAGAGAGAGAGAGAGAGAGAGAGAGAGAGAGAGAGGCAGAGAGGGAGAGAGAGAGAGAGAGAGAGAGAGAGAGAGAGAGAUUUUAUUUUUUUUAAAUCUAAAAUCAGAAAAAUAAAAACAAAUAAGAGAGAGAGAUCUAUUUUUAUUUUUUAUUUUUUUUUAUUUUUUAAAUAUAAAAUCAGAAAAACAAAUAAGAAAAAUAGAAAAUCAUAUUAACAGGGCAAAUCCAUCAUUUUGAAAAAAAUCAAAACAGAUUGGACCAAACAAACAACAAAAUAAAAACUUUAGAUCUCUGGUGCUAAUCCAAAAUUUUUUGGACCAAAGUGACAAUUUUUGAGCAAACUACAGGGACCAUUUGUGCAGUUUUGUCCAAUAAAAAUAAAAAGACCAAAUAGCCUAAUUCUAUUAUCACUUUUGAAGAAAUAGUCCAAAAUUAGCCAAAUUUCCAAAAUAGCCAUUGAUUUCGAUUUUGACACUAUGUUAUUUUUUUUACAAUUUAGUCAUUAUGUUUUCUAAUUUUUGCAAUGUUGACCACUUAACUGGUUAACUCAGAGUUACCCCGAUGAUGUGACAUACUAACAUUUCAGUUUUUGGUGAUGUGGCCUGCUGAUGACGACGUUGUUUGGUUAUGUGAUGUUAACAUGGCAUGAUGAGGUAUCAAAAUUUAAAAAGGGACCAAAAGACACUAAGUUUUGUUUUGUUUUUUUUUUUCAAUUUCGACACUCCAUUUUUUUUAUUCCAAACCGAACAUCAUUCUUUCCAAUUAAAUUCAAUCGGCUGCCCUCUAAUCAUCUCAAAAUGAUCACAACAUCAUAACCCAUGAAAACACAAUCAAUAUCAUAACUCUUGGGAUCAAUGAUAUCUUGCAUGGUGAAGUGUGAAGAUGGUGGCAAAAUCCAUGUUCGUGAGCCUUCAGGUUGUGUUGGUUUAGUAGGAGAUCAAGAUAUUCUUAAAUCCGAGAUAACUUGUGAUGAUAAUUUAUCGUUUAAUGAAAGUGUUGAUAACAAACAUACAUAUGAUCAUGAUGGCCAUAUCAAUCAACAAGAUCAAGCCAACGAGACCUUUAAUAUAGUUAUCGAACACCUUGAUCAUCAUAUAGUUGAUCAAGAACAUCAAGAACCAGAAAAUGAACAAGUGGCUCAAGAGGUAGAUGUUGGAUCAGUAGAUGAAAUUGAGAAGCUAAAGAUGAAGAUGUUGAAGAAACCAAAAUGGAAGAACCAGAACAUGUUGAAGCCGAACCAGAAGAUGAAGGACAUGAAUGAACCGAACCAGAAAGCGAAGAAACCAAACCAUGAAGAAACGAAACCAUAUGCACAUGAAGAAACCCAUACAGAAGAGGCAGAACAUGAAGAAACAAAAACAGUUGAGCUAGAAAUCAAAGAGGAUGAUGUAUAGGUACCGGAAAAUGAAGAUUCGACAUCAAAAGUGGUGAUCAAGAACCAAAAAGUUUAUUGAUAUGUGUUUAAAUGGAAAAUGAUCAACACCGAAUAAAAUUGAAAAAAAAUAAUAAUGUUCGAUUUGGAACAAGAAAAAAUGAAAUGUCAAAAUUGAGAAAAAAAAAUGAAAACUUAAUGUCUUUUAUGCCACCUUUUUUUUUUUUUUUUAAUUUUGACCUGUCAUCAAGUCAUGUCAACGCCACAUAAUCAAACAUUGUCAUGUCAGUAUACCACAUCACCAAAGACUAACAAGUCAGAAUGUCACGUCAACGGGUAAGUGGGUUGACCGGUUAAAUAGUCAACAUUGCAAAAAUUAGAAAGCUUAGUAAUUACAUUGAAACAAAACAUAACAGUGUCAAAAUUGAUUUUUGCAAAUACAUACUGACUUUUGUGCAAUUUACCUAGUUUAAACCUGGGAAUUUAAAAAAAAAAAUUGUGAACUUUUUUGUUGUUAAAAUCUUAAAAGAACAUAUCCACAACAAAAUGGAGCUUUAAAUUGAAUAAUCAGAAACUGAGAUAUUCAAGUUCUUAAUUAAGAAUAACUUGGUAAUUUAAUACAUAUGUUACAUUUGUUAACAUUGUUUAUUGCGAUUUUAUUCAAUUUUCUUGCGUAUUCAAACCAGGUCCUAUCAUAUGUAUAAUUCUCUAUAUUUCAUUAUUUUGAAUGAUUUUGGAUCAUCUUCUCUCCUAACUCUUAUUUUUCUUGUGUUUGACCAAUAGUCAAACUAUUUAUAACAGGGAAAUCUUCAGGAAAAGUCCCAUUAUUUUGGAAAAAGUUACAUUUAAGUCCUAAUAUUUUUUUUUGAACAAAAAAACCCAAGAAACCGGAUAAACCUUUAAUCCUUUUUGACCUGUUGAGCAGGUCACCUAUGCCACAUGGCAUGCCAGCUGUACAAGGGUUGAUGUGGAUGCUGAUGUGUGGCAUAGGUGACCUGCUGAACAUGUCAAAAAGGAUUAAAGUGUAAGGUUUAUCCAGUUUCUUGGGUUUUUUUGUUAAAAAAAAAAAAUUUAGGACUUAAAUGUAACUUUUUCCAAAAUAAUAGGACUUUUCUGAAGAUUUCCCUUUAUAAAACUAAUGAAGUUUGCCUAGAAUUACAAGGAUUGAAAGUACAAGGCUAUCAUUGGUUAACAUUAUGUGUGACUUUUAUAUUUGCUAAAAAGUUUACAAAAAAUAAUAAUAAUAAUAAUAAAUCACAGAGGAAAGUUAAGGAAGCUAGAGGCCUGUAUUGCUUUCAGGGUUUGAAUCAAAAAGUGGUGAUUGUGGAUGACAAUGGAUGGGUCUAUGCAUUGGUGCUGUUAUCACACUAUUUCUUGUUUUUUUAAAAUUACUUUAUUUCAAUAAGAAAUUCUCAAAUUUGGGUCAAUUAUUCAACAAAGUUGGGAGACAAAAUUCUCUGAUUUGGGGUCCUUUAAAGACAGAAAAGCAUUUCGACCUGAAAUUUGCAAUAAUGCUAUGAUGGAUGAUGCUUAUGGAAACACAAUCAAGGUCUCAAAUAGUAAAUACAACUUGCAGAUUUGUAGAGGGGAUUUCUAAACAACUAUUGUAAAGCAACCAUCUUAACUUAAAAAUUCUUUUGUAAAGGUUAGCAUUCUUAGGAUUUUAUCGUUUCAUUUAAUAUAUGAACUAUUUCUUUUUCUGUAAUUGAAAUGUUAUUUUUAAUCUUUGCAGGUUAUAAAUUCCAAGGAUCUGUCAUUUGUAAGAUAUUCCAUCAUAUGUACAUCAACAUUUACAUACCUUUCCUUUGGCAAGUAAACAAGGUAUGCACUAACUUGCUUCAAAUUCUACUUAAUCACCAACUAAUUUCGAAUACAGAUGGUUUAUUUUUUAAUUCUACGCACAAUUAGCCUAUUUUCAGAAGGGUUUAAUCAUUACACCCGUUUUUGGCAUGUGGAUAAAACCUACACACAGCUACACAGACAAUUAAGGCAAGAAAAUACUUUGCUCCAUCUCAUAAAAGGGCAUUUUUACAACAUUUGGAUGAUUGCACAAAAGAACAAUCUUGAUAACAGUUGGCACACAAGAGAUUAAGUGACUUUGAGAGGUGUAAGUUGCAGAAACUCAUGAUCGUAUAACAACAGUACAUCAUAAAAACUUACUCUGUGAUAGACAGCGUAUCAUCAAUCAACCGAUACUCGUCAUAAACCCUAAUUUCCCACCAAGCGUAGCCACAGAUUAGAAGAAACAACACGUUCGGACGAUAGUUGGAUCCUUGAAAGAACAUGCAGUUGCCAUUGCUGAAUUGUUUAUGGUGGUCAUUAAAGACGCAGGAAGAAAAAGUAAGAUUUAGGAACGUCCCACAUCGGAGGGAGCAUAUGAAAGGGAAGAGGGGUGGUGUGAUAUAAAAAGAGGCGAAGGGGUAACGGAUUAAGCAUCUUUGCGCUUGGGGCAAUGACGCAGCUAAUGAGGUAAUAACCGAGGCGCGUCAAUUGCUGGUUGAAAACUAUUUCCAAACCCCCUCCUUGGCCUUGGGUCUCCCUUGGCCAUCGAGAAUUUCUGGAAGGGCUCCCUUUAUUGGGUAAGGCCCUACAAUUUCUAGUAUAAAAAUUUUGAUCAUAGCUUUGUAGAAAAAACUGUAUGAAUUAGUCAAAGUCUUUUUACUGUUUUUUUUUUUAUCAAUUUUCAAGGUUUUUCGUAUCAAAAAUGUUUUUUGCGUGACUUGGUAUUAAUUUUUAACGAUAUGUGUUCUAUUGAAAUGUUUUAAAACAAAUUUGAAAAUUUCAACCUGAACAACCUUGUGGGUUACCAUCUUCAGCGAGAAUAUCAUAGACCGAAGAUAAAUCUUGGAUGCUAAAUCAUAUGUUUUGACUUUUUGGUUUAAUCUUUUUCCUUUUAACUAUUGUUUAUUUUAUUUUUCAAGAAUGAAAGUAAAAAAAUGUAACUACUUACAAUGGGGGGAUCUUGACUCUCCUAAAAAGAAGUUCAAUUCCACUAAAACGAGUGAUAUUGAACCAUACAAGGCUGCAAUCAUCAGGAAUCUAGUAAACCAAAUGAGACCUAAAGAGAAGCAACAAAUCAGGUUAAGUAAAUUGAUGUGUAAUGGCAAGUGUAAUAUUUGAAAUGGCUUCAGCUUAAUGAGCCAGAAACAUAUAGUCUUUAUGUAUAGAAAACAUAUUUCAUGUGAUUUUAAAAGCGUAUUAUUAAAUUAAUAAUCAUAUUUACUUGAUAAUGUUUCUCUAGAGCAUGCAAACACACUUAUGGCCACUUCCACCUCUUACCCAUUUUGUAUGUUAUUAAUAUCAAAGACAAAGAAAAAUGUAAAGAAAGCCAAGACUUGUAGUAAAAAAGACGUACAAAUAAUGGUAUAGAGGAUAUAAUAUUUCUAACUCUGUGUUACAAAUUGAACCAACAAAAUACAUACAAUACAUGGCAUAACUUUAUGACUUGAUAAAACAUCCGCUAACAAAGUUUGGUAUAUUAAUAACCUAAUCCCUUCAUAUACUAAACAAAACAAAAUUUUCUCAAUUUCUUCUAGAAUUCCAUCCACAAUCAAACACGUCGUUUUAUGAAAACCAUCGGGCCAUUUCAUGUAUGUAUGCAUGCAUGUUAUGUACAUUCAUCAUAAUGGUUGAAUGUUGUUGGCCUCUUCACUCUUCAGCUUUUUUAGCAAGCUUUGCUAAUUCUUAACUGAAUUCACCAGCUUCAAAUCCAGACGCUUUAACAAAGAUCAGGGAACUCUUGAUACCCUUUCAAAACCUUCAAGAUGUGAAAGCUUUAUUUUAGGAUAAAUUACAGGAAAAUGAUUAUACUUUUGGGCAAUUUUGCGGUUAACCAAUUAUACUUUAUUGUUUUUUCAAACAAACAGUAAAAGUUCCAAAUAUUUUCUCAGUUUAACCAUUUUGACCUGAUAUAACAUGUCAAAAUGUUUAAUUUGGAAAAUUACAUUCACUUGCUACAUAUCAACAGGACAAAAUGAUGCAAAGAUGUUUGAAACUUUUAUGGUUUAAUUCGAAAAAAUAAAGUGUUAGAAGUUAAACAACAAAAUUGCUCAAAAGUAAGUAUUAAGUUGCACCACAUAUAGGCAUAUGAAUGUUCUACGCAUUUGAUAACUAAACAUGAAUAUAUCAUCCAAUUCCCACCACUAAACUUGCUUCGAACUAUCACAUACAUGUAAUUAUACAUAAUCAUCAUAGUCCACUUGUUCAAUUUUAUGCAUGAAUAAGCUAUUAGCAUUUAUAAAAGGGCUUUAAUCAUUCUAAAAGAUUUACACCACGUAAGUAGGUUAAUAAAACACCCUUUACCAUAUUAUAAAAGGGCAUUUUAACCACAUUGGAUUAAUCGCACAAAAGAACAGGAUCUAACUCAAAACAUUCUUAACAACAGUUGAAAGACAAGACAUUGAACGACAUUGAGAGGUGUAAGUUGCAGAAACUCGUGAUGCAACAACAGUAGAAGUUAAAAAUUUACCCUUGUGAGAUAGACAGCAUCUUGAAUCGAUCUCCAGUCGUCAUAAACCCUAAUUUUCCACCCAUAAUACGUAGCCACAAUUUCGAAAAUCACCACCAUCGGUUAUGAAUGCAUUAGCCGAAACAACACCUUUCGACUACAGUUAGAUCCUUGAAAAGGACAUUCAGUUGACAUUGUUUAGUAGUCCCACAUCGGAUGGAGCAUAUGGAUGGAAGAGGGGUUGUGUAAUAUAAAAGAAGGUGAAGGGGGAUUAGAAGAAUUAUCUUUGCGCUUGGGGCAAUGACGCAGCUAAUGAGGUAAUAACCGAGGCGCGUCAAUUGCUGGUUGAAAACUAUUUCCAAACCCCCUCCUUGGCCUUGGGUCUCCCUUGGCCAUCGAGAAUUUCUGGAAGGGCUCCCUUCAUUGGGUAAAGUCCUACAAUUACAAGUAUAAAAUUAUUAUUGGAAGGCAAUAAUUUGUAUGUUGCUUUUAGGUUGCAAUAUCGACAUGAAAACUAAUCCCAUAUUAAAAACAAUUACUAAUUCCAUAUUAAAAACAAGACACUUAAACGCUUUGAAAAAGAAGAGGGUUAUUAGUGAUGUACAAAG
rnacentral:lncRNA from 1 species